rnacentral:rRNA from 1 species
GAUGAACGCUGGCGGCGUGCCUAAUACAUGCAAGUCGAGCGAACGGACGAGGAGCUUGCUUCUCUGAUGUUAGCGGCGGACGGGUGAGUAACACGUGGAUAACCUACCUAUAAGACUGGGAUAACUUCGGGAAACCGGAGCUAAUACCGGAUAAUAUUUUGAACCGCAUGGUUCAAAAGUGAAAGACGGUCUUGCUGUCACUUAUAGAUGGAUCCGCGCUGCAUUAGCUAGUUGGUAAGGUAACGGCUUACCAAGGCAACGAUGCAUAGCCGACCUGAGAGGGUGAUCGGCCACACUGGAACUGAGACACGGUCCAGACUCCUACGGGAGGCAGCAGUAGGGAAUCUUCCGCAAUGGGCGAAAGCCUGACGGAGCAACGCCGCGUGAGUGAUGAAGGUCUUCGGAUCGUAAAACUCUGUUAUUAGGGAAGAACAUAUGUGUAAGUAACUGUGCACAUCUUGACGGUACCUAAUCAGAAAGCCACGGCUAACUACGUGCCAGCAGCCGCGGUAAUACGUAGGUGGCAAGCGUUAUCCGGAAUUAUUGGGCGUAAAGCGCGCGUAGGCGGUUUUUUAAGUCUGAUGUGAAAGCCCACGGCUCAACCGUGGAGGGUCAUUGGAAACUGGAAAACUUGAGUGCAGAAGAGGAAAGUGGAAUUCCAUGUGUAGCGGUGAAAUGCGCAGAGAUAUGGAGGAACACCAGUGGCGAAGGCGACUUUCUGGUCUGUAACUGACGCUGAUGUGCGAAAGCGUGGGGAUCAAACAGGAUUAGAUACCCUGGUAGUCCACGCCGUAAACGAUGAGUGCUAAGUGUUAGGGGGUUUCCGCCCCUUAGUGCUGCAGCUAACGCAUUAAGCACUCCGCCUGGGGAGUACGACCGCAAGGUUGAAACUCAAAGGAAUUGACGGGGACCCGCACAAGCGGUGGAGCAUGUGGUUUAAUUCGAAGCAACGCGAAGAACCUUACCAAAUCUUGACAUCCUUUGACAACUCUAGAGAUAGAGCUUUCCCCUUCGGGGGACAAAGUGACAGGUGGUGCAUGGUUGUCGUCAGCUCGCGUCGUGAGAUGUUGGGUUAAGUCCCGCAACGAGCGCAACCCUUAAGCUUAGUUGCCAUCAUUAAGUUGGGCACUCUAAGUUGACUGCCGGUGACGAACCGGAGGAAGGUGGGGAUGACGUCAAAUCAUCAUGCCCCUUAUGAUUUGGGCUACACACGUGCUACAAUGGACAAUACAAAGGGCAGCGAAACCGUGAGGUCAAGCAAAUCCCAUAAAGUUGUUCUCAGUUCGGAUUGUAGUCUGCAACUCGACUACAUGAAGCUGGAAUCGCUAGUAAUCGUAGAUCAGCAUGCUACGGUGAAUACGUUCCCGGGUCU